AUGAUCAAGAAUUGCAUCUCUACUAUGAGGACUGCUAUCAACCCUUCUGGAUGAAGAUACCGCAUGAAACAUGUGUACAGACUGGAUAACUAGUAUGGCUGUCCGCAUUAUUUGUCUUGCACUGGAACCACCACCAUAAUUCUCAGCAGGGGGUGAUAACGGCAACUGCAUUUCAAGGUCCAUAUGAGGAUCAUUAACCUCUUGCAUCCUGUACAGUACAGCACAAAUCCAACUAUAAAUAGGCACACAAUAUACAGAUUAAUAUUAUGAUAUGCCAGAAAUUAUUUUUUGGUAACAAAAACCGUGAUUGAUGACCUACCUUGUUCAAAGACAGAGAGAAAUAGAAAGAUGCUGCGAAUGCUUGCUAUGUAAAGGCCAAAGGGUGUGUAAUUAUAUAUAGGCAGAAAAGAGAGAAGAGGGAUACCACACGCGGCAUGGUGCAUGGUUGUGUUAUUACUUUUAAAUUUCAAGGAUAUUCAAUUACAGCAUCCAUGAAAUGCAACAAUCAUAUCUACGAAAGUCUAAUAGAUAUUGCAACGAAUAUACACGAAUAAAAAGUAUGUAUGAUUGGUCAAUUUGUCGACAAUGAAAUAUGCAAAUGUUAU
rnacentral:lncRNA from 1 species